UACGUAGGGGGCAAGCGUUGUCCGGAUUUACUGGGCGUAAAGAGCGUGUAGGCGGCCAAACAGGUCCGUUGUGAAAACUGGAGGCUCAACUUCCAGACGUCGACGGAAACCGUGUGGCUAGAGCCCGGAAGAGGAGAGUGGAAUUCCUGGUGUAGCGGUGAAAUGCGCAGAUAUCAGGAAGAACACCAAUGGCGAAGGCAGCUCUCUGGGACGGUACUGACGCUGAGACGCGAAAGCGUGGGGAGCGAACAGG
rnacentral:rRNA from 1 species